rnacentral:tRNA from 1 species
GUCCCCAUAGCUUAACGGAUAAAGCGCGGCCCUCCGGAGGCCGAAAUCGAGGUUCGAUUCCCCGUGGGGACA